UCCCUCGCCGCAUGCAAAGUUUGUUUCGAGGUUUGUUUUGUCCUGAGUCAGCACCACACGGCGAAUGAGAACGACCCAAAUUUGAGUUUAGUUCACUCAUAAAUUGCAAAAAGUGCAGGAACUCAGUUUUGAAUUAAUUUCCCUCAUGUUUUCAAGGUUUUUUCCAGGAAAAUUUUUCCGAAUAUGAGAAAAGCAAAGAUUGGAUUCUCUGGAUUCUCGUCAAUUUUCCUAAUUUUAGGGCAGAUUUUUGAGGUUUUCCACAGGAAAACAUGCGGCAAAUUUACUCAUCCUGCACUUUUUUCGAUAUUGAGUACACUGUCCUCAAAUUUGCGUUGAUCUCAUUAGCCGUGUACAGUUUGUUUUCGCAUCAGUGGGAAAAAUCUGGAUCAACAAUAGAAAAGGGCCCAUCAGCAUUUGUAAACAAACCGUUCCAAAGCCCAUUCCUCACAAAUCGAAGGCCGCCCACACAAACCAACACCAUCAUCGUGUAGGUGGAAGUUUCCCCUAUCCGAUGAUGGUGCUGGUUUGCGUGGGUGGCCUUCGCUUUGUGAGGAAUGGGCUUUGGAACGGUUUGUUUGCAAAUGCUGAUGGGCCCUUUUCUAUUGUUGAUCCAGAAGUUUGGUUUUUCGACGAAUAAAUUAGCCCGCGGGAAAGUGCCGAUCAAGGUGACUACAUAUAGGUGUUCUAAUGUGUCAAAUUCACGAUUCAGCUAUGUUGGAUUUUUGUAUGGAACAGCUACCGAGUUUGUUUCUGUGCCAUAAAAAGGGAGCUACCGAGUUUGUUUACAAUUUGCUCUAAAACCGCACUUUUCCCCCCGCGACCUCCACGCUAAUAUAGUGACAAAGCUGUAUCACCAUUUAUAUACCCACCAUGGUGCCGAUAAUGUGUCCGUCGCGAGUUUCAAUGUUUUUCUGGAAAGUGUACCAGUCCCAAGCCGACUCCCGGUAGGGAGUCUGAAGCUGGAUCCCGGCGGGAAGUUUGCAGCCGGAUCUCUUUUGCAGUUCGUCAAUAAGGUAGAAGACUGGCAGCCCAAAACUUUCCGCAUUUUUGGAUCAUCUGUAGAACAGGCAGAGAUCUGGAGGCGCAGCGAUCACAUUGUCAUGAUUGUCUGGUAGUUCACUCAAAAAUGCUAUAACAAUCGCCAAGCUUGCUGUAAUGUCACCAAGUGCCUCGUCACCCACGAAUAGGCGCCUAUGUCAGUGGUCUAACAACUCUUAGCGCGCUAAUGGCAUAGUUCCCCUGCCGCAUAGAGAGUUGCCGCAAUGAUAUUAGGUUAGCUAAGGUCAGUUAACUGACUGGUGGGAAACGGGAGCUUCAGCAUUGACAGUUAUGUACGCAUUUUUAUUAUGUUAUCUAACAACAAUGGUGUGUAGUGUUUACACGAUCAUGUUUCUAAUUCUAAUGUGUUGUAAAUAUAAUUGAAAGCAUUUGAAAAGUAAGAUUCUAGUGUUUUGUAUAUCUAAAAACAUUAGUAAACAUCUACAUUUGAAAACAUUCAAACAACGUUUACUUUAAACGUUUUGUACAUCUGAAAACAUCAGAG